AACGAACGCUGGCGGCAGGCCUAACACAUGCAAGUCGAACGCCGUAGCAAUACGGAGUGGCAGACGGGUGAGUAACGCGUGGGAAUAUCCCCCUCAGUACGGAAUAGCUCAGGGAAACUUGGGGUAAUACCGUAUACGUCCGCGAGGAGAAAGAUUUAUCGCUGAGGGAUUAGCCCGCGUAGGAUUAGCUAGUUGGUGAGGUAAUGGCUCACCAAGGCGACGAUCCUUAGCUGGUCUGAGAGGACGACCAGCCACACUGGGACUGAGACACGGCCCAGACUCCUACGGGAGGCAGCAGUGGGGAAUAUUGGACAAUGGGCGCAAGCCUGAUCCAGCCAUGCCGCGUGAGUGAUGAAGGCCUUAGGGUUGUAAUGCUCUUUUGGCGGGGACGAUAAUGACAGUACCGGGAGAAUAAGCCCCGGCUAACUCCGUGCCAGCCGCCGCAGUAA
rnacentral:rRNA from 1 species